rnacentral:tRNA from 1 species
GGCUCGUUGGUCUAGGGGUAUGAUUUUCGCUUUGGAUGCGAGAGGUCCCGGGUUCUAAUCCCGGACGAGCCC